rnacentral:rRNA from 1 species
AGCGAACGCUGGCGGCAGGCUUAACACAUGCAAGUCGAGCGGGCGUAGCAAUACGUCAGCGGCAGACGGGUGAGUAACGCGUGGGAACAUACCUCUUGGUUCGGAACAACACAGGGAAACUUGUGCUAAUACCGGAUAAGCCCUUACGGGGAAAGAUUAUCGCCGAGAGAUUGGCCCGCCGUCUGAUUAGCUAGUUGGUGAGGUAACGGCUCACCAAGGCGACGAUCAGAGCUGGUCUGAGAGGAUGAUCAGCCACAUUGGG